rnacentral:rRNA from 1 species
UACGUAGGGGGCAAGCGUUGUCCGGAUUUAUUGGGCCUAAAGCAUCCGUAGCCGGUUCUGCAAGUCUUCCGUUAAAUCCACCUGCUUAACAGAUGGGCCGCGGAAGAUACUAUAGAGCUAGGAGGCGGGAGAGGCAAGCGGUACUCGAUGGGUAGGGGUAAAAUCCGUUGAUCCAUUGAAGACCACCAGUGGCGAAGGCGGCUUGCCAGAACGCGCUCGACGGUGAGGGAUGAAAGCUGGGGGAGCAAGCCGG